ACAGUGAAAAGGAUUCUUGUUGCCAGGGA
rnacentral:piRNA from 1 species